UACAGGGGGGGCAAGCGUUGUUCGGAAUUACUGGGCGUAAAGGGCCAGUAGGCGGCCAACUAAGUCACACGUGAAAUCCCCAGGCUUAACCUGGGAACUGCGUGUGAUACUGGAUGGCUUGAAUUCGGGAGAGGGAUGCAGAAUUCCAGGUGUAGCGGUGAAAUGCGUAGAUAUCUGGAGGAACACCGGUGGCGAAGGCGGCAUUCUGGACCGAUAUUGACGCUGAGGAGCGAAAGCCAGGGGAGCAAACGGG
rnacentral:rRNA from 1 species